rnacentral:rRNA from 1 species
GGCUCAGGACGAACGCUGGCGGCAUGCCUAACACAUGCAAGUCGAACGGGGGUAGCAAUACCCUAGUGGCGAACGGGUGAGUAACACAUAAGCAAUCUGCCCUUCACAGGGGGAUAACAGCGGGAAACUGCUGCUAAUACCGCAUAAGACCACGGUACCGCAUGGUACAGGAGUAAAAACGAAUCAGUGGUGAAGGAUGAGCUUAUGUCCUAUUAGCUAGUUGGUGAGAUAACAGCCCACCAAGGCGACGAUGGGUAGCCGACCUGAGAGGGUGAUCGGCCACACUGGAACUGAGACACGGUCCAGACUCCUACGGGAGGCAGCAGUGGGGAAUAUUGGGCAAUGGAGGAAAAACCUCUUACCCAGCAAUGCCGCGUGAGUGAAGAAGGUCUUCGGAUUGUAAAGCUCUUUGAUUGGGGACGAAGAAAGUGACGGUACCCAAAGAACAAGCCCCGGCUAACUACGUGCCAGCCGCAGC